AUGCAGUCGCACGGACCUUUCGGGGUGAGUGGCGGACGGGUGAGUAACGCGUAGGGAUCUAUCCAUGGGUGGGGGAUAACACCGGGAAACUGGUGCUAAUACCGCAUGAUACCUGAGGGUCAAAGGCGCAAGUCGCCUGUGGAGGAGCCUGCGUUCGAUUAGCUUGUUGGUGGGGUAAAGGCCUACCAAGGCGAUGAUCGAUAGCUGGUCUGAGAGGAUGAUCAGCCACACUGGGACUGAGACACGGCCCAGACUCCUACGGGAGGCAGCAGUGGGGAAUAUUGGACAAUGGGCGAAAGCCUGAUCCAGCAAUGCCGCGUGUGUGAAGAAGGUCUUCGGAUUGUAAAGCACUUUCGACGGGGACGAUGAUGACGGUACCCGUAGAAGAAGCCCCGGCUAACUUCGUGCCAGCAGCCGCGGUAAUACGAAGGGGGCUAGCGUUGCUCGGAAUGACUGGGCGUAAAGGGCGCGUAGGCGGUUCAUACAGUCAGAUGUGAAAUUCCAGGGCUUAACCUUGGGGCUGCAUUUGAUACGUAUGGACUAGAGUGUGAGAGAGGGUUGUGGAAUUCCCAGUGUAGAGGUGAAAUUCGUAGAUAUUGGGAAGAACACCGGUGGCGAAGGCGGCAACCUGGCUCAUUACUGACGCUGAGGCGCGAAAGCGUGGGGAGCAAACAGGAUUAGAUACC
rnacentral:rRNA from 3 species